ACCCGAGAUAGCUCAGUCGGUAGAGCAUGAGACUCUUCAUCUAAGAGACGUGGGUUCCAGCCCCUGUUGGGCA